rnacentral:lncRNA from 1 species
GAUUCUCAUCUGUAAGCCAACACCGCCAGCACUCUGUGCCAGCAGUAAACUAAAAGGUUAUAGAUGAUCUUGCUAAAUAUCGUCGGUGUCCCUGUCACCAUUGUUCUAUUUGUGAAUAUUUUUCAAUCAAAGCGAGAGUGAAAUCUAAUUAAAGAAAAUUCAAAUAGGCCACAUAACCACCAGAUCUUUUUUACAAGGAGAGCUUGAAUAAUGUGGAUGGAAUUCAUAUAUUACUAGGUAGUAGUAAAAAAAAAAACUGAAGGUGGCAAGAUGUGAGUGAAGGGAUGAGACACUGCCGUUCCAACCACCAUACAACAUAAAAAACAUACAUCCCCG